AGCAUGUGGUUUAAUUCGAAGAUACACGAAGAACCUUACCUGGCCUUGACAUGGUAGGAACCCUGUAGAGAUACGGGGGUGCUAGCUUGCUAGAGCCUACACACAGGUGCUGCACGGCUGUCGUCAGCUCGUGUCGUGAGAUGUUGGGUUAAGUCCCGCAACGAGCGCAACCCUCGUCCUUAGUUGCUAACGGUUCGGCCGAGCACUCUAGGGAGACUGCCUUCGCAAGGAGGAGGAAGGUGAGGACGACGUCAAGUCAUCAUGGCCCUUACGGCCAGGGCUACACACGUGCUACAAUGGGGCGUACAGAGAGCUGCGAUACCGCGAGGUGGAGCCAAUCUCUUAAAGCGUCUCUCAGUUCGGAUUGUUCUCUGCAACUCGAGAACAUGAAGCUGGAAUCACUAGUAAUCGCAGAUCAGCUAUGCUGCGGUGAAUACGUUCCCGGGUCUU
rnacentral:rRNA from 1 species